UUGUCAGUCAGGCUUCUGGCUGGAGUCCAGCUCUCAACUGGAUCCAGUCUCUAGCUGGGGCAUGACUACAAU
rfam:Mus musculus chromosome 7, GRC primary reference assembly.